AUGGGCACCCUUCUGGGCGCCCAAGGGCCUCCCGCAGGUGCGGCCAAUGCAGGAGGGGGAGUGCCCCGACAGGGUCCCGGAGCCUGGCCUCCCCCGCCGCCACACAUCACGCGCCCACACUCCCGCAACACCAGUGUCCUUCCCCUUCCAGCCCUCGGGCCCGAUGCGCGGGAGGCACGGGUAAGCGGACCCCGAGCUUACCCGCGAGAGGCGCACGGAGCGCGGGCCCGUGGCAGCCGCGGUCUCCGGGGCCUCCGGCGCGGAGCUGCCCCGGCGCUCGGUUCUCCUGGCCGCCUCCUCCUCGUUGUCCUCGGCCCGGCCCCGGCCGCCCGGCAGCUCCAAUUCCCUCCGCAGCAGCCGGUCGGGCGGCACCGGGGCGCACGCGGCGGGGCUCGGCUUCGGCGCCUCCUCCUUCUGCUGCCCGCCCGCCAACUUGGUGGUCCGGGGGUCCCGGACGCGGGGGUGGUCGGGGUGCUCGGGGCGCUCGGGCUCCCUCCCGUGCGCAGCCCCUCUCCGAGAGGCGUCUCACUCGCCUCGCGCGGGCGUCACGGGCUCGGGGCGCGCGGGGGCGGCGGCCGGGUGGGCCGCGGGGCGACAGGCGGGGGCGCUGCUGGGGACGCGGGCAGUGAUGCGGGCGCCGCGGCGCGGCCUCUCGCCAUGGCUCCCCGGCGGGCAGGCGGUUCGCACCUCCCCUUCGCGCUGCCGUCACCGCCCGACGCGCGCCAAGCCCUCCCCUUCCCCGGCCCCGCCCGCCACCCCGCGCCGCCACCUGCGGGCUGCCCUCCAGGAUGCCCAACGGGCGGGCGAGUGUCAGCGCCCGGAGCUUCUCCAGCCGUGGCCCUUGGCCCGCCCUUGCGCUUUUGUCCGCGCCUGCUGGGCACAGAGAAGACCUGGCGAAAUACCUGGGUCGGGAAAAGCUAUCACACCCGCCCCGAGCGCUUAACUUCUCGGUGUCCGUCCAGAAUCAGUCUAAAGGGAAGAUGGGACUCGCAGGGGUACUAUUUGCCAUGA
rnacentral:lncRNA from 1 species